rnacentral:rRNA from 1 species
CCUANGGGUGGCAGCAGUGGGGAAUCUUGGACAAUGGGCGAAAGCCUGAUCCAGCCAUGCCGCGUGAAUGAUGAAGGCCCUAGGGUUGUAAAAUUCUUUCGACGGGGAAGAUAAUGACGGUACCCGUAGAAGAAGCUCCGGCUAACUUCGUGCCAGCAGCCGCGGUAAUACGAAGGGGGCUAGCGUUGUUCGGAAUUACUGGGCGUAAAGCGCACGUAGGCGGAUCGAUAAGUAAGAGGUGAAAUCCCAGAGCUCAACUCUGGAACUGCCUUUUAGACUGUCGAUCUGGAGCAGAGUAGAGGUGAGUGGAAUUCCGAGUGUAGAGGUGAAAUUCGUAGAUAUUCGGAGGAACACCAGUGGCGAAGGCGGCUCACUGGACUCUUGCUGACGCUGAGGUGCGAAAGCGUGGGGAGCAAACAGGAUUAGAUACCCCGNUANUC